AUUGGACGCUGGCGGCAUGCCUUACACAUGCAAGUCGAACGGUAACGCGGGGCAACCUGGCGACGAGUGGCGAACGGGUGAGUAAUACAUCGGAACGUGCCCAGUAGUGGGGGAUAACUAUUCGAAAGAGUAGCUAAUACCGCAUACGAUCUAAGGAUGAAAGUGGGGGAUCUUCGGACCUCAUGCUAUUAGAGCGGCCGAUGUCAGAUUAGCUAGUUGGUGAGGUAAAAGCUCACCAAGGCGACGAUCUGUAGCUGGUCUGAGAGGAUGACCAGCCACACUGGGACUGAGACACGGCCCAGACUCCUACGGGAGGCAGCAGUGGGGAAUUUUGGACAAUGGGCGAAAGCCUGAUCCAGCAAUGCCGCGUGUGUGAAGAAGGCCUUCGGGUUGUAAAGCACUUUUGUUCGGGAAGAAAAGGUUUGUGUUAAUACCAUAAGCUGAUGACGGUACCGAAAGAAUAAGCACCGGCUAACUACGUGCCAGCAGCCGCAGUAAUAC
rnacentral:rRNA from 1 species